rnacentral:rRNA from 1 species
AUUGAACGCUGGCGGCAGGCUUAACACAUGCAAGUCGAGCGGAGAUGAGGUGCUUGCACCUUAUCUUAGCGGCGGACGGGUGAGUAAUGCUUAGGAAUCUGCCUAUUAAUGGGGGACAACAUUCCGAAAGGAAUGCUAAUACCGCAUACGCCCUACGGGGGAAAGCAGGGGAUCUUCGGACCUUGCGCUAACAGAUGAGCCUAAGUCGGAUUAGCUAGUUGGUGGGGUAAAGGCCUACAAAGGCGACGAUCUGUAGCGGGUCUGAGAGGAUGAUCCGCCACACUGGGACUGAGACACGGCCCAGACUCCUACGGGAGGCAGCAGUGGGGAAUAUUGGACAAUGGGCGGAAGCCUGAUCCAGCCAUGCCGCGUGUGUGAAGAAGGCCUUUUGGUUGUAAAGCACUUUAAGCGAGGAGGAGGCUACCUGGAUUAAUACUCUAGGAUAGUGGACGUUACUCGCAGAAUAAGCACCGGCUAACUCUGUGCCAGCAGCCGCCGUAAAAC